CUUAUUCCUCUAGUACUUGGCCAGGAUACCAUUAUAAUACCUCUUACUACCUUAUUCCUUUUGUACUUGGCCACAUAUAUACAAUAUCAUUAUAAUACCAUUAGACACUUAUUCCCUCUUACUCCCUUAUUCCUUUUGUACUUGGCCACAUAUAUACAAUAUCAUUAUAAUACCAUUAGACACUUAUUCCCUCUUACUCCCUUAUUCCUUUAGUACUUGGCCACAAUAUCAUUAUAAUACCAUUAGACUCUUAUUCCCUCUUACUCCCUUAUUACUUUAGUACUUGGCCACAAUAUCAUUAUAAUACUAUUAGACUCUUAUUCCCUCUUACUCCCUUAUUACUUUAGUACUUGGCCACAAUACCAUUAUAAUACCAUUAGACUCUUAUUCCCUCUUACUCCCUUAUUCCUUUAGUACUUGGCCACAAUACCAUUAUAAUACCAUUAGACUCUUAUUCCCUCUUACUCCCUUAUUACUUUAGUACUUGGCCACAAUACCAUUAUAAUACCAUUAGACUCGUAUUCCCUUUAACUCGUUUAUACUAAUUUAGCUGAAAGCAGCAAGUGACCCCAAAAGAAUAAUUGUGCAACUAGUGUAAACAUUUAAAAAUUGCAAGCAAGCAACACAAAAUGGAUUAAACAUUCAAAGAUUUUAGUACUUUUUGC